UCCAAGUGGAUAGCUCAAUUGGUGAGAGAGUGGUGCUGGUAACGCCAAGGUUGCAGGUUCAAUCCACGUAUGGGGCAGAA